UACGUAGGGCGCAAGCGUUGUCCGGAAUUAUUGGGCGUAAAGAGCUCGUAGGCGGUUUGUCGCGUCUGCCGUGAAAACCCGAGGCUUAACCUCGUGGCUUGCGGUGGAUACGGGCAGACUAGAGGUAGGUAGGGGAGAAUGGAAUUCCCGGUGUAGCGGUGAAAUGCGCAGAUAUCGGGAGGAACACCGGUGGCGAAGGCGGUUCUCUGGGACGGUACUGACGCUGAGACGCGAAAGCGUGGGGAGCAAACAGG
rnacentral:rRNA from 1 species